rnacentral:rRNA from 1 species
CGCCGGCGGCGUGCCUAAUACAUGCAAGUCGAGCGGACUUUUUAAAAGCUUGCUUUUAAAAAGUUAGCGGCGGACGGGUGAGUAACACGUGGGCAACCUGCCCUGUAGACUGGGAUAACCUCGGGAAACCGAAGCUAAUACCGGAUAAUCAAUUGAAGCACCUACUUCUAUUGUAAAAGUUGGGAUACUAACACUACAGGAUGGGCCCGCGGCGCAUUAGCUAGUUGGUAAGGUAAUGGCUUACCAAGGCGACGAUGCGUAGCCGACCUGAGAGGGUGACCGGCCACACUGGGACUGAGACACGGCCCAGACUCCUACGGGAGGCAGCAGUAGGGAAUCUUCCGCAAUGGACGAAAGUCUGACGGAGCAACGCCGCGUGAACGAUGAAGGCCUUCGGGUCGUAAAGUUCUGUUGUUAGGGAAGAACAAGUACCGUUCGAAUAGGGCGGUACCUUGACGGUACCUAACCAGAAAGCCACGGCUAACUACGUG